GUAGUCGGAUUCGUAUCAAUCCACAUGUGUUAAAGGUGGAUUGGAGUGGAACUUAAACUAAAUUCCACCCCAGUCCACUCCAACACAUGUGGAUUGAGAUGAAUCCGACA
rfam:Sorghum bicolor cultivar BTx623 chromosome 3, whole genome shotgun sequence.